ACGUAGGUGGCAAGCGUUGUCCGGAAUUAUUGGGCGUAAAGGGCGCGCAGGCGGCGUCGUAAGUCGGUCUUAAAAGUGCGGGGCUUAACCCCGUGAGGGGACCGAAACUGCGAUGCUAGAGUAUCGGAGAGGAAAGCGGAAUUCCUAGUGUAGCGGUGAAAUGCGUAGAUAUUAGGAGGAACACCAGUGGCGAAAGCGGCUUUCUGGACGACAACUGACGCUGAGGCGCGAAAGCCAGGGGAGCAAACGG
rnacentral:rRNA from 1 species